GGAAAGCAGCAGUGUUACUGCUGCAAAAUGAGCCCUUGCUAGCUAGUACCAGAAACCUCUGUUUCACUCCUCUUGCAGAAUAAUGGGAAAGUCCCAAGGGGAGGGGCUGAAAAGAAAUUAAGGAUUCCAGAGAAACCUCUCUUUUAGUAGGGGAAAUUCAUCACUCCUGUUCCUGUCCACAUGGAGACAUCCAGUUGUCACUGCAGGCAGUGUCUGAAGAGCUUGAUGGCAUUAUAAGUGCAGUGUCCCAAGAAAUGUCCUCAUGACUCACAUCUAAGGAUUUUCCUUGCUGCAGCUUUGUGGCCAUUUUCAUCCUGUUGCUGUGCAUCUAUGAGAAGAAUCCUGGUCUGUGGAAGUGUUGGUAUUUGUGCAGUGCCAGGGAAUAAAGGGGAAUCACAGCUGUGUAUUCAACCCCUGGCUGCACUGUGUUGAGGCUGGGGAAAUGCCACCUCCUGAAGGGGUCCUGCUACUGCAUAGAAGAAUCACUGCAAAAAUGAAGCCAUGAAUUCCCCAGAAGCUUUCACACUGCUCAGCGUGGAGUUGGCUUUUGGGGCCAUCCUGUGCUCAGGAUGGUGAGUUGGAAGACCUUGUGGUUCUUUAUCAAGAUGAAGGAACAGGACUCUCUGGUGAGAACACACCUGGAGUACUUAGUCCAGCUCUGGGGCCCUGACAUAAGAAGGAUGAGGACCAGUUGGACCAAGUCCAGAUGUGGGCUAUGAAGAUGUUAUCCACUUUGGAUAUCUGAAGGAUUUAGAGCAUGGAGAACAAGGUCCACUUCGGAGACAUAAGGUGCUGCUUCUUCCCUCCUGCAGGGAAGCUGAACUCGCAUUGAAACAUCUGGGAGUUAUGCACAGAGUAGGGCCCAAAUACUUAUAUUCUCCCAUCAGAAGUGGACGAGGACUCCAACCAAAAUCACUAAAUCCUUGUGCCAGCUCAUGCAAACGUAGAUGGACUUUUCACAUUCCUUGAAGAACCCGGCUUUGUGUAUCAAGCUGGUUGGGGUGGUGGUUGAAGAGGAGCAAAGGCAUCAGCAUCUUUCAAUACUAAAUCCUAGCACAAGGAAAGCAGGAGGGUAUCUGGGGCCAUGUCUCCAAAUAGCUUGGGACCCACCCACCUUUAUGAAGAUGAGCUGCUUCCUGUGUUUCUAAUUAUUCAGAAGUAAUUACUUUUAGUAGUAUUAUUUCUCCAGCAAGAUUUUACUUUGAAAAAUGUCCUGUUGCCUGUGUAGCUGAUGUUAAUGAACAUGAAAGUUUUGGCUCAGGGCUGGUGUUGACCAAGUGAGAUGAACUGAGUCAAUAUCUGUACUGGUGAAACGAAUCAAGUAACAUUUAGAUCAGAUGUUUUCUCCUCACUCCCCUUUGCAUUCAGGCCGUGUUUCACCAGUGUACUGUAGUGGCACCUGAAUAAACACUUGCAAAUAUUUAUAAUUCCCCACCUUCUCAUAGGGGCUUUCUGAGAUCUUUCCCACAACUCUCCCAUAUAAAACAGUUGAAUCCCUCUUCUUUCUUAAUAUAAACAUGAAGGUAAUGUGCCCCUUGUCACAGCAGACAUCUGUUAUAUGUAUAGUAGUUAUUCUGUAGCUCACGGAUUAAUCACUGUGCUCCAUCUCAUUUUGAACUGCAAUCAGAAAAUUACAAGGAUUCCUUGAGGAGUUGGAAAUCAGAGUGCCAGGUUUGGGCCAGUCAGGACUGCCUUCAGUAUCUGGAUCAGCUGGAUCUUGAACUACAAGCUCAUGCUGCCCACUGCUUGAAGCAACUCUGGUACCUAUCUUCUGAAGUGAUGAAACAUCUUAUGCAUUUCACUGCCUCCUGUGUCAUGGGAACCCCAGUAAAAGCAAAUGACUGGAGGAAAGCUUGCCUUUCUACCAUUUCCAGGCAUAGCAUGAGACAAGUUCAUGGAAGAACUCUCCUCCCAGGCCUAUUAAACGUUAAGAUGCUGAUGUGACCGUUGGCUCAGAAAGUCUGAAAUUGUGCAGGGCCAGGAACAAGUAGAAUAUACAAGGGAGACAUCUCUGUCUGCUUUCCUUUGUCUCUUACUCUGUUCCAAAAUAUUCACUACUCUCAAAUCAUCUUCUGAAUUAAAUGGAUCUUCAGUGUGGUCCUGUAGAGCUGGAUUUCUCUUCCUAACUUCUUGGAGUGUUUCUCAGCUAUUUGAAAGCACUGUGUGGUCUCCACAGAAAGCUGUCAAGGAACCCAGAUCACAAACUGGACAAAAUGCAUGCAUUGUAAGACAUUUAAUAUGAAUAUUUUAGUAAUCUCUAGUGGACCAAAGGAGUGAUCUGCACUGAGUGGAGGCAGACAUCAGGGCUGACUAAGGAGAGUAGUCUUAAACAUGCAAGUUUACCAGCCCCAUCAGCAUUCACAUUUGGAUCAUGUGUUCCUGGAUGGAUAUGAGCAAAGUGGGGUUGGAGAAAUCCCGCUGAAUAGUCUGAAAAACUGAGCUAGGUAGAUUGUCAGGGGGCACUUGAAUUAGCAGGAAAACUUGACUCCAGAAGAAAGGGAGCAGCUGGGGAAGUAGGAAUGUAUCUGAAUUCAAGGUCCCAGGACCGACAGCAAGGAGAGGCAAGAUAGAACUUCUGGCAGAGUGGAGCUGAAACAGCUAUGAAGGAGCUUAAGCAUGGCUGAGGAUUUUAUUUGAGUUAUAAAUUAGUCAUUUAUCUUUUCUUUCUGUGCUUGUAUCUAAAACCCCUUCUUUAAAUCUUGCAAAGUAGACAGCCCUGCUAAAAAUGUCAAUGCAUUUGUCCUCAAACCUAGGUCAAAGUAGUAGAAGGUGAUGCUGGUAAACCUAGGGUAUGUCGUCCCCAUGGUGGUGGUAGAUCAGAGGAAAGAAGAGUACAGGUAAUAUAAAGGGUUUGCUCAAAGACAUUUAGGGAUGAUAUUCUGCUUCCACUAAAUCAGAAAAAUAUGGACUCAGUUCUGACAGAUGCUCCUCCUUCCUUCAAGAAGGGAAGUAGUGAGGGUUCCAAAGUGCUGAGAAGAGUUGCCCAUUAGCAUCUGGCAGGGCUUUUUAUAUAUUCUGGAUUAUGCUGUAGUUUGAGAUACAUCACAAGUAACAUAUGGGGCAAAUCAUGUUUUUUUCUUGGCCCAUCCCUGUGUGUAAUAGGGGCAGAAUGAUAUCCAUAAUCAGGCAAGAUAGAAAGAGAAAUAUACUAAAAUAAGGUUAGCUGGUCAGAGAAGAAUGGCAACAACAGCAAUAGAGUUACUUUAGCUAAUUAUAGAGGAGAAAGCAAAACUAACAUAAAGUUUUACCCUGCUGUUUGGCUUCGUGGCAGAAUUCAGUCCUGCCUUGCUUCUGUCAUUGGAGGAGCUGUAGGACUCACUGAUCAAUCAGCAACAAUUCAUGGUUGACACAAUGGAUCAAAUUGAUAGUUUAUUAAUAAAAAUAACUAAUUGGUGUUAUAGUCUACUCAUUAUUGCCUGUUUGUAGUUCUUUCAUAAGUUAAAAACCCCACAUAGAUAUUAAGCCCGGCAAGAGUUUUUCUUUAGAGUGCGUAGUGUAUACUCCAUACUACAGUGUGUGCUUAGCUAUGGCACUUACCAAUAUGUUGUGGUAAUAAAGGGAACAUUUUCAGUAAUAGCAGCUCACAUACUGGGUAGUCCUGUUGCAUGCAUGGACAUGAAUUUUCGAAUAAGUUACCAUUAAAUAUGUGUAGCAAUCAGUGACAGACUCUGCCUCUGAGAUACUGAGCCUUUUCCUUAAGUAACUGAUAUUACUGAAUGCUUGACAGUUCCACUGCAUGAUUGUUUUCAUGAAUUUCCUGCCUUUGAAAUUCCAAAUGGACCACUUCAAUCUCUAUAGAGACGUUAAUUUUACAUCUGCUUUUUUUUCCCCUGGGAGCUGAAUUUUUUAAUUAACACUAAAUAAAUAUUCUUUACAAAGUGUUAUUAACAAUAGCCAUGAAAUCCAGUGGGUAACUGGUUUGAACUGCAGCUGUCCUGUUUCCUUUUUUACGUCACUGGGGGCAACCCUGUCUGUGCUUUGUCCAUGUGAACUCUUCUGCCCAUACACCUCUCUCCUGACAUUCAGACCAUUGUGAUUCCAGUCGAAUGGCAGCCUAUUAGGUCCCAGUGUUUCAAAACAUACAGUGAUUUCCCAUCAACAUCAAAGCAAAUUACUCUUAUUUAGUUUCUCUUUAGAAAAGGACAUGGUCCUUUAUUUUCCCACUGCAACUUGUUCAUCCUUGCUAAGUGCUGCUGCAGAUACCAUUGCCGCCUUACAACUUCCUUUUCCUUGUUUUCCCCUUCAGUCUGAGAAAUUCGGUCAGGCAGUUUUAUUCUACAUUUUAAAGGAAUGUAUUUCGCAAGCACAGCUCUCGCUGUUGUGCUCUUCUGAUGUAAUUGGAAUAAGUUGAUUUGGCCACAAAACUUUCAAAAAUUUGGAAAGGCUAUUACAGAGCAAACAAAAAAAUUGUCAUAUUUUGUGUCAUUUACAUCUCAUUUUCAUAUCAAAACACAUAACUUCUGAAAUACUAAUUUCAGAGUCUUAAAAUGUUUUCUGUACACUUCAGUUAAACUUCUUUAGGGCAAGUUUCCCCCUUCACGCAUUGCUAGACACCAAUUCACAGAUGAACUUUAAAUGCCAGUAACUUUUUAUAGACAGAAAGAAGCCAUAAUAAUAUUAAAUGAAAACCCAUCUUCCUCCAGACUCAAGUUGAAAAGUGAGAUUUCUACAAAUUUCUAAAAGUUCUCUCUGAGAUUUCUAGAUUACUCUUAAAAUAGGAGAGGAAAAGAGUGAAAAAAAAAGGAAUUGGCAAAGUCCUUAGAAAUUACCAACAAUUUUGAAAUAAUUUCCUUCAUAUAAUUAUGCAUUUUCAUCUGAUUUUUUCCCUCUUGCUCAAAAUCAGCUUGCAUUUAUGCUUUCGAGACCUCCUUAACUUCUGUAGAGAAGAGAUUUAAUGAGGCUGAUGAUUUGAUGCCAGCCAUCAAUGGCAAUGUUUGCUAAUGCCAUUUUCAUAGGCAGUAAUGUCCAGUUGUGAAAACUACCCAGCUUGACUGCAAAACUCAUUCAAACUAUCAUCCUGCACGGUCUGAUGCUAAUCUCGUAGAUUACUGAUACAAAAUGUGAGUUCAAAGAACACAUUUAGAUGAAAACGGAUAAUUUACAAAGUUUAGGUCACUAGGGUUUUCUAAGGAGCGAAGAGCAUGGCCCAGUGGGUAAAUUUGGACUUCUCACUACAAGUGACGACUUAUUUUGGUCCAUAUCCAGCAAAGAUGGGAGUGAGAGACCAUGAAACACAAUUUUAAUUCGAUUAUCCAAAACUAACAAAAAAAUGAAUUCAUGCAUAUUUCUGGGUUGGAUCUGGAGAGAUUUCUGUGUAGAUUUGUCUUUAGUGUUUUGAAUCAAUUUUGUCUUCCAAAUAAAAUAAAAUCUUCUUUCAAUAAAA